GAUGAACGCUGGCGGCGUGCCUAAUACAUGCAAGUCGAGCGAACAGAUGAGGAGCUUGCUCCUCUGACGUUAGCGGCGGACGGGUGAGUAACACGUGGAUAACCUACCUAUAAGACUGGGAUAACUUCGGGAAACCGGAGCUAAUACCGGAUAAUAUAUUGAACCGCAUGGUUCAAUAGUGAAAGACGGUUUUGCUGUCACUUAUAGAUGGAUCCGCGCCGGAUUAGCUAGUUGUUAAGGUAACGGCUUACCAAGGCAACGAUGCGUAGCCGACCUGAGAGGGUGAUCGGCCACACUGGAACUGAGACACGGUCCAGACUCCUACGGGAGGCAGCAGUAGGGAAUCUUCCGCAAUGGGCGAAAGCCUGACGGAGCAACGCCGCGUGAGUGAUGAAGGUCUUCGGAUCGUAAAACUCUGUUAUGAGGGAAGAACAAAUGUGUAAGUAACUAUGCACGUCUUGACGGUACCUAAUCAGAAAGCAACGGCUAACUACGUG
rnacentral:rRNA from 1 species